rnacentral:rRNA from 1 species
AGUGAACGCUGGCGGUAGGCCUAACACAUGCAAGUCGAACGGCAGCACAGUAAGAGCUUGCUCUUACGGGUGGCGAGUGGCGGACGGGUGAGGAAUACAUCGGAAUCUACUUUUUCGUGGGGGAUAACGUAGGGAAACUUACGCUAAUACCGCAUACGACCUACGGGUGAAAGCAGGGGAUCUUCGGACCUUGCGCGAUUGAAUGAGCCGAUGUCGGAUUAGCUAGUUGGCGGGGUAAAGGCCCACCAAGGCGACGAUCCGUAGCUGGUCUGAGAGGAUGAUCAGCCACACUGGAACUGAGCCACGGUCCAGACUACUACGGGAGGCAACAGUGGGGAAUAUUGGACAAUGGGAGGAAGCCUGAUCCAGCCAUACCGCGUGGGUGAAGAAGACAUUCCGGUUGUAAAGCACUUUUGUUGGGAAAGAAAAGCAGCAGGUUAAUACCCCGCUGUUCUGACGGUACCCUAAGAAUAAGCACCGGCUAACUUCGUG